UUCCAGACUCCUACGGGAGGCAGCAGUGGGGAAUAUUGCACAAUGGGGGGAACCCUGAUGCAGCGACGCCGCGUGAGUGAAGAAGUAUUUCGGUAUGUAAAGCUCUAUCAGCAGGGAAGAAAAUGACGGUACCUGACUAAGAAGCCCCGGCUAACUACGUGCCAGCAGCCGCGGUAAUACGUAGGGGGCAAGCGUUAUCCGGAUUUACUGGGUGUAAAGGGAGCGUAGACGGCGAUGCAAGUCAGAAGUGAAAGCCCGUGGCUCAACUGCGGGACUGCUUUUGAAACUGUAUAGCUUGAGUGCAGGAGAGGUAAGCGGAAUUCCUAGUGUAGCGGUGAAAUGCGUAGAUAUUAGGAGGAACACCAGUGGCGAAGGCGGCGUACUGGACUGUAACUGACGUUGAGGCUCGAAAGCGUGGGGAGCAAACAGGAUUAGAUACCCUCGUACCC
rnacentral:rRNA from 1 species